rnacentral:misc_RNA from 1 species
AAUUUAUUCUUUAAAGUUGAAGAUAGUAAUAGAUAACAGUAAAGUAAAUCCAUGAAAACGAUACGAUGGAACACAAUGUAAAUACAAAAUCUGAAUAAGUAUAGUAUAAUAGAGACGACAUUUUUGACAGAUUACUGCUGGAGCAAAAAUCAUGAUACGUCGGAUACCAAUGACUUCAUCGGAUCUACCAUUCUAAUGUAAACGAUGGCAGUUCCUUAUUAGACUUUGUUACGCUAUGACUAUUAAUAAGACACAAGGUCAAACAUUCAAAGGUGGCAGUUAUACGUAUCCUGUCCCCAUAUGUGGAAACGAGACGAAAGCAAGGGAAUACUGGAAAGGAGAGGGAGAAAAAAGAUGCAGACUAUGUAAAAGGAAAGAAGAAGACCUGAGACAUGCAAUAGAAGAAUGUGAAAUAACGGGAGAACCAAAGGACAUAGAAAAAACACUAAAUGAGACUGGAGCAGGUCUAACAGAACUAAAAACAAUAAUAGAGAAGAGAAGGGCAAUGUAAGAUGGAGAGGAACGACAGGAAGGAAGCACAGCAAGGAGGCAAAAGCCCAAAGUUGCAAUAGUUUUUAGUCAUUAGUUUUUAGUUUUGGUUUUUAGAGAUAGAAUAAUUAAGGGAGUGCAAUAUAAUAGUGUGGAUAAGAGGAGAGGUAGAUAUAUAAGAAAAGAAUUAGACAUAAUAGAUGUAAAACCGAAAGUUCGUCCAAAGCCGAAAGGCACGGACUAAGUAAAUAGUAAAUAAAUGCUAUUGUGUAUUAAAAUAAUGAGUAACAGUUGAUGCAUGUAAUAUAAUAUUUAAAGGCUCAAGUUCAAAGGUAUUUAUUACUUUUACUUAUUCGAGAUUUAUAUAAGACAGGAGAAAUGUACAAAUUUUUAGUUAUAUGAUGUUAAGGAACGAUAAUACUUGUAAAUUACAAGAAACUCUAAACGUUAAGAAAGAAGAUAUACAUGUACGUAGAUAUACAUAUAUCGUGCAUAUAUAGGAGGCCACAUUUAUCUCUGCCACCCUUUUAAUUUUGUUUCAGUAAUUCAUCUUCCUUGAACUUGUAUCUCAAUAAAUUGCUUGCGGAAUUUUUGACCCAAAUUAUUUUAAGUGAUAUGUUAUGGGACAUUGUAUCUAGUGGUAAACAAAAAAAUAGGCCAUAUAGUUUAAGUGACAUUACUACUAGUAAAAUCUCAGAAAAUAUGACCUUGAAAUGACGUUCACUCUCAUAGUCCAAUUUUCCUCCUAAAAUGUAUGUACAAUAACUUUCUCUUGAAACAUUUUUCUGUAUCGUUACAAACAAGAGAGCAA